GUCCUCUCUUCGUAGGCUAAUGCAUUGGCCCUUUUUGACCCGUUUUGGGGCGAAAACAAAAACUGACUCCCGGGCAUAUUUUUUUCGGCCUUUAUGGGCAGAGAACUUUAAUACCGCUCGAAAUGAGGCCACCCAGUAGUUAGGUGUGAAUUUUCGAGACCUUUGGCACCGUUCUAAGAUGGGUCCUCUCUUCGUAGGCUAAUGCAUUGGCCCUUUUUGACCCGUUUUGGGGCGAAAACAAAAACUGACUCCCGGGCAUAUUUUUUUCGGCCUUUAUGGGCAGAGAACUUUAAUACCGCUCAAAAUGAGGCCACCCAGUAGUUAGGUGUGAAUUUUCGAGACCUUUGGCACCGUUCUAAGAUGGGUCCUCUCUUCGUAGGCUAAUGCAUUGGCCCUUUUUGACCCGUUUUGGGGCGAAAACAAAAACUGACUCCCGGGCAUAUUUUUUUCGGCCUUUAUGGGCAGAGAACUUUAAUGCCGCUCGGAAUGAGGCCACCCAGUAGUUAGGUGUGAAUUUUCGAGACCUUUGGCACCGUUCUAAGAUGGGUCCUCUCUUCGUAGGCUAAUGCAUUGGCCCUUUUUGACCCGUUUUGGGGCGAAAACAAAAACUGACUCCCGGGCAUAUUUUUUUUCGGCCUUUAUGGGCAGAGAACUUUAAUGCCGCUCGGAAUGAGGCCACCCAGUAGUUAGGUGUGAAUUUUCGAGACCUUUGGCACCGUUCUAAGAUGGGUCCUCUCUUCGUAGGCUAAUGCAUUGGCCCUUUUUGACCCGUUUUGGGGCGAAAACAAAAACUGACUCCCGGGCAUAUUUUUUUCGGCCUUUAUGGGCAGAGAACUUUAAUGCCGCUCAGAAUGAGGCCACCCAGUAGUUAGGUGUGAAUUUUCGAGACCUUUGGCACCGUUCUAAGAUGGGUCCUCUCUUCGUAGGCUAAUGCAUUGGCCCUUUUUGACCCGUUUUGGGGCGAAAACAAAAACUGACUCCCGGGCAUAUUUUUUUUCGGCCUUUAUGGGCAGAGAACUUUAAUGCCGCUCAGAAUGAGGCCACCCAGUAGUUAGGUGUGAAUUUUCGAGACCUUUGGCACCGUUCUAAGAUGGGUCCUCUCUUCGUAGGCUAAUGCAUUGGCCCUUUUUGACCCGUUUUGGGGCGAAAACAAAAACUGACUCCCGGGCAUAUUUUUUUCGGCCUUUAUGGGCAGAGAACUUUAAUGCCGCUCGGAAUGAGGCCACCCAGUAGUUAGGUGUGAAUUUUCGAGACCUUUGGCACCGUUCUAAGAUGGGUCCUCUCUUCGUAGGCUAAUGCAUUGGCCCUUUUUGACCCGUUUUGGGGCGAAAACAAAAACUGACUCCCGGGCAUAUUUUUUUCGGCCUUUAUGGGCAGAGAACUUUAAUGCCGCUCGGAAUGAGGCCACCCAGUAGUUAGGUGUGAAUUUUCGAGACCUUUGGCACCGUUCUAAGAUGGGUCCUCUCUUCGUAGGCUAAUGCAUUGGCCCUUUUUUGACCCGUUUUGGGGCGAAAACAAAAACUGACUCCCGGGCAUAUUUUUUUCGGCCUUUAUGGGCAGAGAACUUUAAUGCCGCUCAGAAUGAGGCCACCCAGUAGUUAGGUGUGAAUUUUCGAGACCUUUGGCACCGUUCUAAGAUGGGUCCUCUCUUCGUAGGCUAAUGCAUUGGCCCUUUUUGACCCGUUUUGGGGCGAAAACAAAAACUGACUCCCGGGCAUAUUUUUUUCGGCCUUUAUGGGCAGAGAACUUUAAUGCCGCUCAGAAUGAGGCCACCCAGUAGUUAGGUGUGAAUUUUCGAGACCUUUGGCACCGUUCUAAGAUGGGUCCUCUCUUCGUAGGCUAAUGCAUUGGCCCUUUUUGACCCGUUUUGGGGCGAAAACAAAAACUGACUCCCGGGCAUAUUUUUUUCGGCCUUUAUGGGCAGAGAACUUUAAUGCCGCUCAGAAUGAGGCCACCCAGUAGUUAGGUGUGAAUUUUCGAGACCUUUGGCACCGUUCUAAGAUGGGUCCUCUCUUCGUAGGCUAAUGCAUUGGCCCUUUUUGACCCGUUUUGGGGCGAAAACAAAAACUGACUCCCGGGCAUAUUUUUUUCGGCCUUUAUGGGCAGAGAACUUUAAUGCCGCUCAGAAUGAGGCCACCCAGUAGUUAGGUGUGAAUUUUCGAGACCUUUGGCACCGUUCUAAGAUGGGUCCUCUCUUCGUAGGCUAAUGCAUUGGCCCUUUUUGACCCGUUUUGGGGCGAAAACAAAAACUGACUCCCGGGCAUAUUUUUUUUCGGCCUUUAUGGGCAGAGAACUUUAAUGCCGCUCAGAAUGAGGCCACCCAGUAGUUAGGUGUGAAUUUUCGAGACCUUUGGCACCGUUCUAAGAUGGGUCCUCUCUUCGUAGGCUAAUGCAUUGGCCCUUUUUGACCCGUUUUGGGGCGAAAACAAAAACUGACUCCCGGGCAUAUUUUUUUCGGCCUUUAUGGGCAGAGAACUUUAAUGCCGCUCAGAAUGAGGCCACCCAGUAGUUAGGUGUGAAUUUUCGAGACCUCUGGCACCGUUCUAAGAUGGGUCCUCUCUUCGUAGGCUAAUGCAUUGGCCCUUUUUGACCCGUUUUGGGGCGAAAACAAAAACUGACUCCCGGGCAUAUUUUUUUCGGCCUUUAUGGGCAGAGAACUUUAAUGCCGCUCAGAAUGAGGCCACCCAGUAGUUAGGUGUGAAUUUUCGAGACCUCUGGCACCGUUCUAAGAUGGGUCCUCUCUUCGUAGGCUAAUGCAUUGGCCCUUUUUGACCCGUUUUGGGGCGAAAACAAAAACUGACUCCCGGGCAUAUUUUUUUCGGCCUUUAUGGGCAGAGAACUUUAAUGCCGCUCAGAAUGAGGCCACCCAGUAGUUAGGUGUGAAUUUUCGAGACCUCUGGCACCGUUCUAAGAUGGGUCCUCUCUUCGUAGGCUAAUGCAUUGGCCCUUUUUGACCCGUUUUGGGGCGAAAACAAAAACUGACUCCCGGGCAUAUUUUUUUCGGCCUUUAUGGGCAGAGAACUUUAAUGCCGCUCAGAAUGAGGCCACCCAGUAGUUAGGUGUGAAUUUUCGAGACCUCUGGCACCGUUCUAAGAUGGGUCCUCUCUUCGUAGGCUAAUGCAUUGGCCCUUUUUGACCCGUUUUGGGGCGAAAACAAAAACUGACUCCCGGGCAUAUUUUUUUCGGCCUUUAUGGGCAGAGAACUUUAAUGCCGCUCAGAAUGAGGCCACCCAGUAGUUAGGUGUGAAUUUUCGAGACCUCUGGCACCGUUCUAAGAUGGGUCCUCUCUUCGUAGGCUAAUGCAUUGGCCCUUUUUGACCCGUUUUGGGGCGAAAACAAAAACUGACUCCCGGGCAUAUUUUUUUCGGCCUUUAUGGGCAGAGAACUUUAAUGCCGCUCAGAAUGAGGCCACCCAGUAGUUAGGUGUGAAUUUUCGAGACCUCUGGCACCGUUCUAAGAUGGGUCCUCUCUUCGUAGGCUAAUGCAUUGGCCCUUUUUGACCCGUUUUGGGGCGAAAACAAAAACUGACUCCCGGGCAUAUUUUUUUCGGCCUUUAUGGGCAGAGAACUUUAAUGCCGCUCAGAAUGAGGCCACCCAGUAGUUAGGUGUGAAUUUUCGAGACCUCUGGCACCGUUCUAAGAUGGGUCCUCUCUUCGUAGGCUAAUGCAUUGGCCCUUUUUGACCCGUUUUGGGGCGAAAACAAAAACUGACUCCCGGGCAUAUUUUUUUCGGCCUUUAUGGGCAGAGAACUUUAAUGCCGCUCAGAAUGAGGCCACCCAGUAGUUAGGUGUGAAUUUUCGAGACCUCUGGCACCGUUCUAAGAUGGGUCCUCUCUUCGUAGGCUAAUGCAUUGGCCCUUUUUGACCCGUUUUGGGGCGAAAACAAAAACUGACUCCCGGGCAUAUUUUUUUCGGCCUUUAUGGGCAGAGAACUUUAAUGCCGCUCAGAAUGAGGCCACCCAGUAGUUAGGUGUGAAUUUUCGAGACCUCUGGCACCGUUCUAAGAUGGGUCCUCUCUUCGUAGGCUAAUGCAUUGGCCCUUUUUGACCCGUUUUGGGGCGAAAACAAAAACUGACUCCCGGGCAUAUUUUUUUCGGCCUUUUAUGGGCAGAGAACUUUAAUGCCGCUCAGAAUGAGGCCACCCAGUAGUUAGGUGUGAAUUUUCGAGACCUCUGGCACCGUUCUAAGAUGGGUCCUCUCUUCGUAGGCUAAUGCAUUGGCCCUUUUUGACCCGUUUUGGGGCGAAAACAAAAACUGACUCCCGGGCAUAUUUUUUUCGGCCUUUAUGGGCAGAGAACUUUAAUGCCGCUCAGAAUGAGGCCACCCAGUAGUUAGGUGUGAAUUUUCGAGACCUCUGGCACCGUUCUAAGAUGGGUCCUCUCUUCGUAGGCUAAUGCAUUGGCCCUUUUUGACCCGUUUUGGGGCGAAAACAAAAACUGACUCCCGGGCAUAUUUUUUUCGGCCUUUAUGGGCAGAGAACUUUAAUGCCGCUCAGAAUGAGGCCACCCAGUAGUUAGGUGUGAAUUUUCGAGACCUCUGGCACCGUUCUAAGAUGGGUCCUCUCUUCGUAGGCUAAUGCAUUGGCCCUUUUUGACCCGUUUUGGGGCGAAAACAAAAACUGACUCCCGGGCAUAUUUUUUUCGGCCUUUAUGGGCAGAGAACUUUAAUGCCGCUCAGAAUGAGGCCACCCAGUAGUUAGGUGUGAAUUUUCGAGACCUCUGGCACCGUUCUAAGAUGGGUCCUCUCUUCGUAGGCUAAUGCAUUGGCCCUUUUUGACCCGUUUUGGGGCGAAAACAAAAACUGACUCCCGGGCAUAUUUUUUUCGGCCUUUAUGGGCAGAGAACUUUAAUGCCGCUCAGAAUGAGGCCACCCAGUAGUUAGGUGUGAAUUUUCGAGACCUCUGGCACCGUUCUAAGAUGGGUCCUCUCUUCGUAGGCUAAUGCAUUGGCCCUUUUUGACCCGUUUUGGGGCGAAAAAAAAAAACUGACUCCCGGGCAUAUUUUUUUCGGCCUUUAUGGGCAGAGAACUUUAAUGCCGCUCAGAAUGAGGCCACCCAGUAGUUAGGUGUGAAUUUUCGAGACCUCUGGCACCGUUCUAAGAUGGGUCCUCUCUUCGUAGGCUAAUGCAUUGGCCCUUUUUGACCCGUUUUGGGGCGAAAACAAAAACUGACUCCCGGGCAUAUUUUUUUCGGCCUUUAUGGGCAGAGAACUUUAAUGCCGCUCAGAAUGAGGCCACCCAGUAGUUAGGUGUGAAUUUUCGAGACCUCUGGCACCGUUCUAAGAUGGGUCCUCUCUUCGUAGGCUAAUGCAUUGGCCCUUUUUGACCCGUUUUGGGGCGAAAACAAAAACUGACUCCCGGGCAUAUUUUUUUCGGCCUUUAUGGGCAGAGAACUUUAAUGCCGCUCAGAAUGAGGCCACCCAGUAGUUAGGUGUGAAUUUUCGAGACCUCUGGCACCGUUCUAAGAUGGGUCCUCUCUUCGUAGGCUAAUGCAUUGGCCCUUUUUGACCCGUUUUGGGGCGAAAACAAAAACUGACUCCCGGGCAUAUUUUUUUCGGCCUUUAUGGGCAGAGAACUUUAAUGCCGCUCAGAAUGAGGCCACCCAGUAGUUAGGUGUGAAUUUUCGAGACCUCUGGCACCGUUCUAAGAUGGGUCCUCUCUUCGUAGGCUAAUGCAUUGGCCCUUUUUGACCCGUUUUGGGGCGAAAACAAAAACUGACUCCCGGGCAUAUUUUUUUCGGCCUUUAUGGGCAGAGAACUUUAAUGCCGCUCAGAAUGAGGCCACCCAGUAGUUAGGUGUGAAUUUUCGAGACCUCUGGCACCGUUCUAAGAUGGGUCCUCUCUUCGUAGGCUAAUGCAUUGGCCCUUUUUGACCCGUUUUGGGGCGAAAACAAAAACUGACUCCCGGGCAUAUUUUUUUCGGCCUUUAUGGGCAGAGAACUUUAAUGCCGCUCAGAAUGAGGCCACCCAGUAGUUAGGUGUGAAUUUUCGAGACCUCUGGCACCGUUCUAAGAUGGGUCCUCUCUUCGUAGGCUAAUGCAUUGGCCCUUUUUGACCCGUUUUGGGGCGAAAACAAAAACUGACUCCCGGGCAUAUUUUUUUCGGCCUUUAUGGGCAGAGAACUUUAAUACCGCUCAGAAUGAGGCCACCCAGUAGUUAGGUGUGAAUUUUCGAGACCUCUGGCACCGUUCUAAGAUGGGUCCUCUCUUCGUAGGCUAAUGCAUUGGCCCUUUUUGACCCGUUUUGGGGCGAAAACAAAAACUGACUCCCGGGCAUAUUUUUUUCGGCCUUUAUGGGCAGAGAACUUUAAUGCCGCUCAGAAUGAGGCCACCCAGUAGUUAGGUGUGAAUUUUCGAGACCUCUGGCACCGUUCUAAGAUGGGUCCUCUCUUCGUAGGCUAAUGCAUUGGCCCUUUUUGACCCGUUUUGGGGCGAAAACAAAAACUGACUCCCGGGCAUAUUUUUUUCGGCCUUUAUGGGCAGAGAACUUUAAUACCGCUCAGAAUGAGGCCACCCAGUAGUUAGGUGUGAAUUUUCGAGACCUCUGGCACCGUUCUAAGAUGGGUCCUCUCUUCGUAGGCUAAUGCAUUGGCCCUUUUUGACCCGUUUUGGGGCGAAAACAAAAACUGACUCCCGGGCAUAUUUUUUUCGGCCUUUAUGGGCAGAGAACUUUAAUACCGCUCAGAAUGAGGCCACCCAGUAGUUAGGUGUGAAUUUUCGAGACCUCUGGCACCGUUCUAAGAUGGGUCCUCUCUUCGUAGGCUAAUGCAUUGGCCCUUUUUGACCCGUUUUGGGGCGAAAACAAAAACUGACUCCCGGGCAUAUUUUUUUCGGCCUUUAUGGGCAGAGAACUUUAAUACCGCUCAGAAUGAGGCCACCCAGUAGUUAGGUGUGAAUUUUCGAGACCUCUGGCACCGUUCUAAGAUGGGUCCUCUCUUCGUAGGCUAAUGCAUUGGCCCUUUUUGACCCGUUUUGGGGCGAAAACAAAAACUGACUCCCGGGCAUAUUUUUUUCGGCCUUUAUGGGCAGAGAACUUUAAUACCGCUCAGAAUGAGGCCACCCAGUAGUUAGGUGUGAAUUUUCGAGACCUCUGGCACCGUUCUAAGAUGGGUCCUCUCUUCGUAGGCUAAUGCAUUGGCCCUUUUUGACCCGUUUUGGGGCGAAAACAAAAACUGACUCCCGGGCAUAUUUUUUUCGGCCUUUAUGGGCAGAGAACUUUAAUGCCGCUCAGAAUGAGGCCACCCAGUAGUUAGGUGUGAAUUUUCGAGACCUCUGGCACCGUUCUAAGAUGGGUCCUCUCUUCGUAGGCUAAUGCAUUGGCCCUUUUUGACCCGUUUUGGGGCGAAAACAAAAACUGACUCCCGGGCAUAUUUUUUUCGGCCUUUAUGGGCAGAGAACUUUAAUACCGCUCAGAAUGAGGCCACCCAGUAGUUAGGUGUGAAUUUUCGAGACCUCUGGCACCGUUCUAAGAUGGGUCCUCUCUUCGUAGGCUAAUGCAUUGGCCCUUUUUGACCCGUUUUGGGGCGAAAACAAAAACUGACUCCCGGGCAUAUUUUUUUCGGCCUUUAUGGGCAGAGAACUUUAAUGCCGCUCAGAAUGAGGCCACCCAGUAGUUAGGUGUGAAUUUUCGAGACCUCUGGCACCGUUCUAAGAUGGGUCCUCUCUUCGUAGGCUAAUGCAUUGGCCCUUUUUGACCCGUUUUGGGGCGAAAACAAAAACUGACUCCCGGGCAUAUUUUUUUCGGCCUUUAUGGGCAGAGAACUUUAAUGCCGCUCAGAAUGAGGCCACCCAGUAGUUAGGUGUGAAUUUUCGAGACCUCUGGCACCGUUCUAAGAUGGGUCCUCUCUUCGUAGGCUAAUGCAUUGGCCCUUUUUGACCCGUUUUGGGGCGAAAACAAAAACUGACUCCCGGGCAUAUUUUUUUCGGCCUUUAUGGGCAGAGAACUUUAAUACCGCUCAGAAUGAGGCCACCCAGUAGUUAGGUGUGAAUUUUCGAGACCUCUGGCACCGUUCUAAGAUGGGUCCUCUCUUCGUAGGCUAAUGCAUUGGCCCUUUUUGACCCGUUUUGGGGCGAAAACAAAAACUGACUCCCGGGCAUAUUUUUUUCGGCCUUUAUGGGCAGAGAACUUUAAUGCCGCUCAGAAUGAGGCCACCCAGUAGUUAGGUGUGAAUUUUCGAGACCUCUGGCACCGUUCUAAGAUGGGUCCUCUCUUCGUAGGCUAAUGCAUUGGCCCUUUUUGACCCGUUUUGGGGCGAAAACAAAAACUGACUCCCGGGCAUAUUUUUUUCGGCCUUUAUGGGCAGAGAACUUUAAUGCCGCUCAGAAUGAGGCCACCCAGUAGUUAGGUGUGAAUUUUCGAGACCUCUGGCACCGUUCUAAGAUGGGUCCUCUCUUCGUAGGCUAAUGCAUUGGCCCUUUUUGACCCGUUUUGGGGCGAAAACAAAAACUGACUCCCGGGCAUAUUUUUUUCGGCCUUUAUGGGCAGAGAACUUUAAUGCCGCUCAGAAUGAGGCCACCCAGUAGUUAGGUGUGAAUUUUCGAGACCUCUGGCACCGUUCUAAGAUGGGUCCUCUCUUCGUAGGCUAAUGCAUUGGCCCUUUUUGACCCGUUUUGGGGCGAAAACAAAAACUGACUCCCGGGCAUAUUUUUUUCGGCCUUUAUGGGCAGAGAACUUUAAUGCCGCUCAGAAUGAGGCCACCCAGUAGUUAGGUGUGAAUUUUCGAGACCUCUGGCACCGUUCUAAGAUGGGUCCUCUCUUCGUAGGCUAAUGCAUUGGCCCUUUUUGACCCGUUUUGGGGCGAAAACAAAAACUGACUCCCGGGCAUAUUUUUUUCGGCCUUUAUGGGCAGAGAACUUUAAUGCCGCUCAGAAUGAGGCCACCCAGUAGUUAGGUGUGAAUUUUCGAGACCUCUGGCACCGUUCUAAGAUGGGUCCUCUCUUCGUAGGCUAAUGCAUUGGCCCUUUUUGACCCGUUUUGGGGCGAAAACAAAAACUGACUCCCGGGCAUAUUUUUUUCGGCCUUUAUGGGCAGAGAACUUUAAUGCCGCUCAGAAUGAGGCCACCCAGUAGUUAGGUGUGAAUUUUCGAGACCUCUGGCACCGUUCUAAGAUGGGUCCUCUCUUCGUAGGCUAAUGCAUUGGCCCUUUUUGACCCGUUUUGGGGCGAAAACAAAAACUGACUCCCGGGCAUAUUUUUUUCGGCCUUUAUGGGCAGAGAACUUUAAUGCCGCUCAGAAUGAGGCCACCCAGUAGUUAGGUGUGAAUUUUCGAGACCUCUGGCACCGUUCUAAGAUGGGUCCUCUCUUCGUAGGCUAAUGCAUUGGCCCUUUUUGACCCGUUUUGGGGCGAAAACAAAAACUGACUCCCGGGCAUAUUUUUUUCGGCCUUUAUGGGCAGAGAACUUUAAUGCCGCUCAGAAUGAGGCCACCCAGUAGUUAGGUGUGAAUUUUCGAGACCUCUGGCACCGUUCUAAGAUGGGUCCUCUCUUCGUAGGCUAAUGCAUUGGCCCUUUUUGACCCGUUUUGGGGCGAAAACAAAAACUGACUCCCGGGCAUAUUUUUUUCGGCCUUUAUGGGCAGAGAACUUUAAUGCCGCUCAGAAUGAGGCCACCCAGUAGUUAGGUGUGAAUUUUCGAGACCUCUGGCACCGUUCUAAGAUGGGUCCUCUCUUCGUAGGCUAAUGCAUUGGCCCUUUUUGACCCGUUUUGGGGCGAAAACAAAAACUGACUCCCGGGCAUAUUUUUUUCGGCCUUUAUGGGCAGAGAACUUUAAUGCCGCUCAGAAUGAGGCCACCCAGUAGUUAGGUGUGAAUUUUCGAGACCUCUGGCACCGUUCUAAGAUGGGUCCUCUCUUCGUAGGCUAAUGCAUUGGCCCUUUUUGACCCGUUUUGGGGCGAAAACAAAAACUGACUCCCGGGCAUAUUUUUUUCGGCCUUUAUGGGCAGAGAACUUUAAUGCCGCUCAGAAUGAGGCCACCCAGUAGUUAGGUGUGAAUUUUCGAGACCUCUGGCACCGUUCUAAGAUGGGUCCUCUCUUCGUAGGCUAAUGCAUUGGCCCUUUUUGACCCGUUUUGGGGCGAAAACAAAAACUGACUCCCGGGCAUAUUUUUUUCGGCCUUUAUGGGCAGAGAACUUUAAUACCGCUCAGAAUGAGGCCACCCAGUAGUUAGGUGUGAAUUUUCGAGACCUCUGGCACCGUUCUAAGAUGGGUCCUCUCUUCGUAGGCUAAUGCAUUGGCCCUUUUUGACCCGUUUUGGGGCGAAAACAAAAACUGACUCCCGGGCAUAUUUUUUUCGGCCUUUAUGGGCAGAGAACUUUAAUGCCGCUCAGAAUGAGGCCACCCAGUAGUUAGGUGUGAAUUUUCGAGACCUCUGGCACCGUUCUAAGAUGGGUCCUCUCUUCGUAGGCUAAUGCAUUGGCCCUUUUUGACCCGUUUUGGGGCGAAAACAAAAACUGACUCCCGGGCAUAUUUUUUUCGGCCUUUAUGGGCAGAGAACUUUAAUACCGCUCAGAAUGAGGCCACCCAGUAGUUAGGUGUGAAUUUUCGAGACCUCUGGCACCGUUCUAAGAUGGGUCCUCUCUUCGUAGGCUAAUGCAUUGGCCCUUUUUGACCCGUUUUGGGGCGAAAACAAAAACUGACUCCCGGGCAUAUUUUUUUCGGCCUUUAUGGGCAGAGAACUUUAAUGCCGCUCAGAAUGAGGCCACCCAGUAGUUAGGUGUGAAUUUUCGAGACCUCUGGCACCGUUCUAAGAUGGGUCCUCUCUUCGUAGGCUAAUGCAUUGGCCCUUUUUGACCCGUUUUGGGGCGAAAACAAAAACUGACUCCCGGGCAUAUUUUUUUCGGCCUUUAUGGGCAGAGAACUUUAAUGCCGCUCAGAAUGAGGCCACCCAGUAGUUAGGUGUGAAUUUUCGAGACCUCUGGCACCGUUCUAAGAUGGGUCCUCUCUUCGUAGGGCUAAUGCAUUGGCCCUUUUUGACCCGUUUUGGGGCGAAAACAAAAACUGACUCCCGGGCAUAUUUUUUUCGGCCUUUAUGGGCAGAGAACUUUAAUACCGCUCAGAAUGAGGCCACCCAGUAGUUAGGUGUGAAUUUUCGAGACCUCUGGCACCGUUCUAAGAUGGGUCCUCUCUUCGUAGGCUAAUGCAUUGGCCCUUUUUGACCCGUUUUGGGGCGAAAACAAAAACUGACUCCCGGGCAUAUUUUUUUCGGCCUUUAUGGGCAGAGAACUUUAAUGCCGCUCAGAAUGAGGCCACCCAGUAGUUAGGUGUGAAUUUUCGAGACCUCUGGCACCGUUCUAAGAUGGGUCCUCUCUUCGUAGGCUAAUGCAUUGGCCCUUUUUGACCCGUUUUGGGGCGAAAACCAAAAACUGACUCCCGGGCAUAUUUUUUUCGGCCUUUAUGGGCAGAGAACUUUAAUACCGCUCAGAAUGAGGCCACCACCCAGUAGUUAGGUGUGAAUUUUCGAGACCUCUGGCACCGUUCUAAGAUGGGUCCUCUCUUCGUAGGCUAAUGCAUUGGCCCUUUUUGACCCGUUUUGGGGCGAAAACAAAAACUGACUCCCGGGCAUAUUUUUUUCGGCCUUUAUGGGCAGAGAAACUUUAAUGCCGCUCAGAAUGAGGCCACCCAGUAGUUAGGUGUGAAUUUUCGAGACCUCUGGCACCGUUCUAAGAUGGGUCCUCUCUUCGUAGGCUAAUGCAUUGGCCCUUUUUGACCCGUUUUGGGGCGAAAACAAAAACUGACUCCCGGGCAUAUUUUUUUCGGCCUUUAUGGGCAGAGAACUUUAAUACCGCUCAGAAUGAGGCCACCCAGUAGUUAGGUGUGAAUUUUCGAGACCUCUGGCACCGUUCUAAGAUGGGUCCUCUCUUCGUAGGCUAAUGCAUUGGCCCUUUUUGACCCGUUUUGGGGCGAAAACAAAAACUGACUCCCGGGCAUAUUUUUUUCGGCCUUUAUGGGCAAAGAACUUUAAUGCCGCUCAGAAUGAGGCCACCCAGUAGUUAGGUGUGAAUUUUCGAGACCUCUGGCACCGUUCUAAGAUGGGUCCUCUCUUCGUAGGCUAAUGCAUUGGCCCUUUUUGACCCGUUUUGGGGCGAAAAACAAAAACUGACUCCCGGGCAUAUUUUUUUCGGCCUUUAUGGGCAAAGAACUUUAAUGCCGCUCAGAAUGAGGCCACCCAGUAGUUAGGUGUGAAUUUUCGAGACCUCUGGCACCGUUCUAAGAUGGGUCCUCUCUUCGUAGGCUAAUGCAUUGGCCCUUUUUGACCCGUUUUGGGGCGAAAACAAAAAACUGACUCCCGGGCAUAUUUUUUUCGGCCUUUAUGGGCAGAGAACUUUAAUGCCGCUCAGAAUGAGGCCACCCAGUAGUUAGGUGUGAAUUUUCGAGACCUCUGGCACCGUUCUAAGAUGGGUCCUCUCUUCGUAGGCUAAUGCAUUGGCCCUUUUUGACCCGUUUUGGGGCGAAAACAAAAACUGACUCCCGGGCAUAUUUUUUUCGGCCUUUAUGGGCAGAGAACUUUAAUACCGCUCAGAAUGAGGCCACCCAGUAGUUAGGUGUGAAUUUUCGAGACCUCUGGCACCGUUCUAAGAUGGGUCCUCUCUUCGUAGGCUAAUGCAUUGGCCCUUUUUGACCCGUUUUGGGGCGAAAACAAAAACUGACUCCCGGGCAUAUUUUUUUCGGCCUUUAUGGGCAGAGAACUUUAAUACCGCUCAGAAUGAGGCCACCCAGUAGUUAGGUGUGAAUUUUCGAGACCCUCUGGCACCGUUCUAAGAUGGGUCCUCUCUUCGUAGGCUAAUGCAUUGGCCCUUUUUGACCCGUUUUGGGGCGAAAACAAAAACUGACUCCCGGGCAUAUUUUUUUCGGCCUUUAUGGGCAGAGAACUUUAAUACCGCUCAGAAUGAGGCCACCCAGUAGUUAGGUGUGAAUUUUCGAGACCUCUUGGCACCGUUCUAAGAUGGGUCCUCUCUUCGUAGGCUAAUGCAUUGGCCCUUUUUGACCCGUUUUGGGGCGAAAACAAAAACUGACUCCCGGGCAUAUUUUUUUCGGCCUUUAUGGGCAGAGAACUUUAAUGCCGCUCAGAAUGAGGCCACCCAGUAGUUAGGUGUGAAUUUUCGAGACCUCUGGCACCGUUCUAAGAUGGGUCCUCUCUUCGUAGGCUAAUGCAUUGGCCCUUUUUGACCCGUUUUGGGGCGAAAACAAAAACUGACUCCCGGGCAUAUUUUUUUCGGCCUUUAUGGGCAGAGAACUUUAAUACCGCUCAAAAAUGAGGCCACCCAGUAGUUAGGUGUGAAUUUUCGAGACCUCUGGCACCGUUCUAAGAUGGGUCCUCUCUUCGUAGGCUAAUGCAUUGGCCCUUUUUGACCCGUUUUGGGGCGAAAACAAAAACUGACUCCCGGGCAUAUUUUUUUCGGCCUUUAUGGGCAGAGAACUUUAAUACCGCUCAGAAUGAGGCCACCCAGUAGUUAGGUGUGAAUUUUCGAGACCUUUGGCACCGUUCUAAGAUGGGUCCUCUCUUCGUAGGCUAAUGCAUUGGCCCUUUUUGACCCGUUUUGGGGCGAAAACAAAAACUGACUCCCGGGCAUAUUUUUUUCGGCCUUUAUGGGCAGAGAACUUUAAUGCCGCUCAGAAUGAGGCCACCCAGUAGUUAGGUGUGAAUUUUCGAGACCUCUGGCACCGUUCUAAGAUGGGUCCUCUCUUCGUAGGCUAAUGCAUUGGCCCUUUUUGACCCGUUUUGGGGCGAAAACAAAAACUGACUCCCGGGCAUAUUUUUUUCGGCCUUUAUGGGCAGAGAACUUUAAUGCCGCUCAGAAUGAGGCCACCCAGUAGUUAGGUGUGAAUUUUCGAGACCUCUGGCACCGUUCUAAGAUGGGUCCUCUCUUCGUAGGCUAAUGCAUUGGCCCUUUUUGACCCGUUUUGGGGCGAAAACAAAAACUGACUCCCGGGCAUAUUUUUUUCGGCCUUUAUGGGCAGAGAACUUUAAUACCGCUCAGAAUGAGGCCACCCAGUAGUUAGGUGUGAAUUUUCGAGACCUCUGGCACCGUUCUAAGAUGGGUCCUCUCUUCGUAGGCUAAUGCAUUGGCCCUUUUUGACCCGUUUUGGGGCGAAAACAAAAACUGACUCCCGGGCAUAUUUUUUUCGGCCUUUAUGGGCAGAGAACUUUAAUACCGCUCAGAAUGAGGCCACCCAGUAGUUAGGUGUGAAUUUUCGAGACCUCUGGCACCGUUCUAAGAUGGGUCCUCUCUUCGUAGGCUAAUGCAUUGGCCCUUUUUGACCCGUUUUGGGGCGAAAACAAAAACUGACUCCCGGGCAUAUUUUUUUCGGCCUUUAUGGGCAGAGAACUUUAAUACCGCUCAGAAUGAGGCCACCCAGUAGUUAGGUGUGAAUUUUCGAGACCUUCUGGCACCGUUCUAAGAUGGGUCCUCUCUUCGUAGGCUAAUGCAUUGGCCCUUUUUGACCCGUUUUGGGGCGAAAACAAAAACUGACUCCCGGGCAUAUUUUUUUCGGCCUUUAUGGGCAGAGAACUUUAAUGCCGCUCAGAAUGAGGCCACCCAGUAGUUAGGUGUGAAUUUUCGAGACCUCUGGCACCGUUCUAAGAUGGGUCCUCUCUUCGUAGGCUAAUGCAUUGGCCCUUUUUGACCCGUUUUGGGGCGAAAACAAAAACUGACUCCCGGGCAUAUUUUUUUCGGCCUUUAUGGGCAGAGAACUUUAAUACCGCUCAGAAUGAGGCCACCCAGUAGUUAGGUGUGAAUUUUCGAGACCUCUGGCACCGUUCUAAGAUGGGUCCUCUCUUCGUAGGCUAAUGCAUUGGCCCUUUUUGACCCGUUUUGGGGCGAAAACAAAAACUGACUCCCGGGCAUAUUUUUUUCGGCCUUUAUGGGCAGAGAACUUUAAUACCGCUCAGAAUGAGGCCACCCAGUAGUUAGGUGUGAAUUUUCGAGACCUCUGGCACCGUUCUAAGAUGGGUCCUCUCUUCGUAGGCUAAUGCAUUGGCCCUUUUUGACCCGUUUUGGGGCGAAAACAAAAACUGACUCCCGGGCAUAUUUUUUUCGGCCUUUAUGGGCAGAGAACUUUAAUGCCGCUCAGAAUGAGGCCACCCAGUAGUUAGGUGUGAAUUUUCGAGACCUCUGGCACCGUUCUAAGAUGGGUCCUCUCUUCGUAGGCUAAUGCAUUGGCCCUUUUUGACCCGUUUUGGGGCGAAAACAAAAACUGACUCCCGGGCAUAUUUUUUUCGGCCUUUAUGGGCAGAGAACUUUAAUACCGCUCAGAAAUGAGGCCACCCAGUAGUUAGGUGUGAAUUUUCGAGACCUCUGGCACCGUUCUAAGAUGGGUCCUCUCUUCGUAGGCUAAUGCAUUGGCCCUUUUUGACCCGUUUUGGGGCGAAAACAAAAACUGACUCCCGGGCAUAUUUUUUUCGGCCUUUAUGGGCAGAGAACUUUAAUACCGCUCAGAAUGAGGCCACCCAGUAGUUAGGUGUGAAUUUUCGAGACCUCUCGGCACCGUUCUAAGAUGGGUCCUCUCUUCGUAGGCUAAUGCAUUGGCCCUUUUUGACCCGUUUUGGGGCGAAAACAAAAACUGACUCCCGGGCAUAUUUUUUUCGGCCUUUAUGGGCAGAGAACUUUAAUGCCGCUCAGAAAUGAGGCCACCCAGUAGUUAGGUGUGAAUUUUCGAGACCUCUGGCACCGUUCUAAGAUGGGUCCUCUCUUCGUAGGCUAAUGCAUUGGCCCUUUUUGACCCGUUUUGGGGCGAAAACAAAAACUGACUCCCGGGCAUAUUUUUUUCGGCCUUUAUGGGCAGAGAACUUUAAUACCGCUCAGAAUGAGGCCACCCAGUAGUUAGGUGUGAAUUUUCGAGACCUCUGGCACCGUUCUAAGAUGGGUCCUCUCUUCGUAGGCUAAUGCAUUGGCCCUUUUUGACCCGUUUUGGGGCGAAAACAAAAACUGACUCCCGGGCAUAUUUUUUUCGGCCUUUAUGGGCAGAGAACUUUAAUACCGCUCAGAAUGAGGCCACCCAGUAGUUAGGUGUGAAUUUUCGAGACCUCUUGGCACCGUUCUAAGAUGGGUCCUCUCUUCGUAGGCUAAUGCAUUGGCCCUUUUUGACCCGUUUUGGGGCGAAAACAAAAACUGACUCCCGGGCAUAUUUUUUUCGGCCUUUAUGGGCAGAGAACUUUAAUGCCGCUCAGAAUGAGGCCACCCAGUAGUUAGGUGUGAAUUUUCGAGACCUCUGGCACCGUUCUAAGAUGGGUCCUCUCUUCGUAGGCUAAUGCAUUGGCCCUUUUUGACCCGUUUUGGGGCGAAAACAAAAACUGACUCCCGGGCAUAUUUUUUUCGGCCUUUAUGGGCAGAGAACUUUAAUGCCGCUCAGAAUGAGGCCACCCAGUAGUUAGGUGUGAAUUUUCGAGACCUUUGGCACCGUUCUAAGAUGGGUCCUCUCUUCGUAGGCUAAUGCAUUGGCCCUUUUUGACCCGUUUUGGGGCGAAAACAAAAACUGACUCCCGGGCAUAUUUUUUUCGGCCUUUAUGGGCAGAGAACUUUAAUACCGCUCAGAAUGAGGCCACCCAGUAGUUAGGUGUGAAUUUUCGAGACCUCUGGCACCGUUCUAAGAUGGGUCCUCUCUUCGUAGGCUAAUGCAUUGGCCCUUUUUGACCCGUUUUGGGGCGAAAACAAAAACUGACUCCCGGGCAUAUUUUUUUCGGCCUUUAUGGGCAGAGAACUUUAAUGCCGCUCAGAAUGAGGCCACCCAGUAGUUAGGUGUGAAUUUUCGAGACCUCUGGCACCGUUCUAAGAUGGGUCCUCUCUUCGUAGGCUAAUGCAUUGGCCCUUUUUGACCCGUUUUGGGGCGAAAACAAAAACUGACUCCCGGGCAUAUUUUUUUCGGCCUUUAUGGGCAGAGAACUUUAAUACCGCUCAGAAUGAGGCCACCCAGUAGUUAGGUGUGAAUUUUCGAGACCUCUGGCACCGUUCUAAGAUGGGUCCUCUCUUCGUAGGCUAAUGCAUUGGCCCUUUUUGACCCGUUUUGGGGCGAAAACAAAAACUGACUCCCGGGCAUAUUUUUUUCGGCCUUUAUGGGCAGAGAACUCUUAAUAGCCGCUCAGAAAUGGCCAGGCCACCCAGUAGUUAGGUGUGAAUUUUCGAGACCUCUGGCACCGUUCUAAGAUGGGUCCUCUCUUCGUAGGCUAAUGCAUUGGCCCUUUUUGACCCGUUUUGGGGCGAAAACAAAAACUGACUCCCGGGCAUAUUUUUUUCGGCCUUUAUGGGCAGAGAACUUUAAUGCCGCUCAGAAUGAGGCCACCCAGUAGUUAGGUGUGAAUUUUCGAGACCUCUGGCACCGUUCUAAGAUGGGUCCUCUCUUCGUAGGCUAAUGCAUUGGCCCUUUUUGACCCGUUUUGGGGCGAAAACAAAAACUGACUCCCGGGCAUAUUUUUUUCGGCCUUUAUGGGCAGAGAACUUUAAUGCCGCUCAGAAUGAGGCCACCCAGUAGUUAGGUGUGAAUUUUCGAGACCUUUGGCACCGUUCUAAGAUGGGUCCUCUCUUCGUAGGCUAAUGCAUUGGCCCUUUUUGACCCGUUUUGGGGCGAAAACAAAAACUGACUCCCGGGCAUAUUUUUUUCGGCCUUUAUGGGCAGAGAACUUUAAUGCCGCUCAGAAUGAGGCCACCCAGUAGUUAGGUGUGAAUUUUCGAGACCUCUGGCACCGUUCUAAGAUGGGUCCUCUCUUCGUAGGCUAAUGCAUUGGCCCUUUUUGACCCGUUUUGGGGCGAAAACAAAAACUGACUCCCGGGCAUAUUUUUUUCGGCCUUUAUGGGCAGAGAACUUUAAUACCGCUCAGAAUGAGGCCACCCAGUAGUUAGGUGUGAAUUUUCGAGACCUUUGGCACCGUUCUAAGAUGGGUCCUCUCUUCGUAGGCUAAUGCAUUGGCCCUUUUUGACCCGUUUUGGGGCGAAAACAAAAACUGACUCCCGGGCAUAUUUUUUUCGGCCUUUAUGGGCAGAGAACUUUAAUACCGCUCAGAAUGAGGCCACCCAGUAGUUAGGUGUGAAUUUUCGAGACCUCUGGCACCGUUCUAAGAUGGGUCCUCUCUUCGUAGGCUAAUGCAUUGGCCCUUUUUGACCCGUUUUGGGGCGAAAACAAAAACUGACUCCCGGGCAUAUUUUUUUCGGCCUUUAUGGGCAGAGAACUUUAAUGCCGCUCAGAAUGAGGCCACCCAGUAGUUAGGUGUGAAUUUUCGAGACCUUUGGCCACCGUUCUAAGAUGGGUCCUCUCUUCGUAGGCUAAUGCAUUGGCCCUUUUUGACCCGUUUUGGGGCGAAAACAAAAACUGACUCCCGGGCAUAUUUUUUUCGGCCUUUAUGGGCAGAGAACUUUAAUACCGCUCAGAAUGAGGCCACCCAGUAGUUAGGUGUGAAUUUUCGAGACCUUUGGCACCGUUCUAAGAUGGGUCCUCUCUUCGUAGGCUAAUGCAUUGGCCCUUUUUGACCCGUUUUGGGGCGAAAACAAAAACUGACUCCCGGGCAUAUUUUUUUCGGCCUUUAUGGGCAGAGAACUUUAAUACCGCUCAGAAUGAGGCCACCCAGUAGUUAGGUGUGAAUUUUCGAGACCUUCUGGCACCGUUCUAAGAUGGGUCCUCUCUUCGUAGGCUAAUGCAUUGGCCCUUUUUGACCCGUUUUGGGGCGAAAACAAAAACUGACUCCCGGGCAUAUUUUUUUCGGCCUUUAUGGGCAGAGAACUUUAAUGCCGCUCAGAAUGAGGCCACCCAGUAGUUAGGUGUGAAUUUUCGAGACCUCUGGCACCGUUCUAAGAUGGGUCCUCUCUUCGUAGGCUAAUGCAUUGGCCCUUUUUGACCCGUUUUGGGGCGAAAACAAAAACUGACUCCCGGGCAUAUUUUUUUCGGCCUUUAUGGGCAGAGAACUUUAAUACCGCUCAGAAUGAGGCCACCCAGUAGUUAGGUGUGAAUUUUCGAGACCUUUGGCACCGUUCUAAGAUGGGUCCUCUCUUCGUAGGCUAAUGCAUUGGCCCUUUUUGACCCGUUUUGGGGCGAAAACAAAAACUGACUCCCGGGCAUAUUUUUUUCGGCCUUUAUGGGCAGAGAACUUUAAUGCCGCUCAGAAUGAGGCCACCCAGUAGUUAGGUGUGAAUUUUCGAGACCUUUGGCACCGUUCUAAGAUGGGUCCUCUCUUCGUAGGCUAAUGCAUUGGCCCUUUUUGACCCGUUUUGGGGCGAAAACAAAAACUGACUCCCGGGCAUAUUUUUUUCGGCCUUUAUGGGCAGAGAACUUUAAUACCGCUCAAAAUGAGGCCACCCAGUAGUUAGGUGUGAAUUUUCGAGACCUCUGGCACCGUUCUAAGAUGGGUCCUCUCUUCGUAGGCUAAUGCAUUGGCCCUUUUUGACCCGUUUUGGGGCGAAAACAAAAACUGACUCCCGGGCAUAUUUUUUUCGGCCUUUAUGGGCAGAGAACUUUAAUACCGCUCAAAAUGAGGCCACCCAGUAGUUAGGUGUGAAUUUUCGAGACCUUUGGCACCGUUCUAAGAUGGGUCCUCUCUUCGUAGGCUAAUGCAUUGGCCCUUUUUGACCCGUUUUGGGGCGAAAACAAAAACUGACUCCCGGGCAUAUUUUUUUCGGCCUUUAUGGGCAGAGAACUUUAAUGCCGCUCAGAAUGAGGCCACCCAGUAGUUAGGUGUGAAUUUUCGAGACCUUUGGCACCGUUCUAAGAUGGGUCCUCUCUUCGUAGGCUAAUGCAUUGGCCCUUUUUGACCCGUUUUGGGGCGAAAACAAAAACUGACUCCCGGGCAUAUUUUUUUCGGCCUUUAUGGGCAGAGAACUUUAAUACCGCUCAAAAUGAGGCCACCCAGUAGUUAGGUGUGAAUUUUCGAGACCUUUGGCACCGUUCUAAGAUGGGUCCUCUCUUCGUAGGCUAAUGCAUUGGCCCUUUUUGACCCGUUUUGGGGCGAAAACAAAAACUGACUCCCGGGCAUAUUUUUUUCGGCCUUUAUGGGCAGAGAACUUUAAUACCGCUCAAAAUGAGGCCACCCAGUAGUUAGGUGUGAAUUUUCGAGACCUUUGGCACCGUUCUAAGAUGGGUCCUCUCUUCGUAGGCUAAUGCAUUGGCCCUUUUUGACCCGUUUUGGGGCGAAAACAAAAACUGACUCCCGGGCAUAUUUUUUUCGGCCUUUAUGGGCAGAGAACUUUAAUACCGCUCAAAAUGAGGCCACCCAGUAGUUAGGUGUGAAUUUUCGAGACCUCUGGCACCGUUCUAAGAUGGGUCCUCUCUUCGUAGGCUAAUGCAUUGGCCCUUUUUGACCCGUUUUGGGGCGAAAACAAAAACUGACUCCCGGGCAUAUUUUUUUCGGCCUUUAUGGGCAGAGAACUUUAAUGCCGCUCAAAAUGAGGCCACCCAGUAGUUAGGUGUGAAUUUUCGAGACCUCUGGCACCGUUCUAAGAUGGGUCCUCUCUUCGUAGGCUAAUGCAUUGGCCCUUUUUGACCCGUUUUGGGGCGAAAACAAAAACUGACUCCCGGGCAUAUUUUUUUCGGCCUUUAUGGGCAGAGAACUUUAAUACCGCUCAGAAUGAGGCCACCCAGUAGUUAGGUGUGAAUUUUCGAGACCUUUGGCACCGUUCUAAGAUGGGUCCUCUCUUCGUAGGCUAAUGCAUUGGCCCUUUUUGACCCGUUUUGGGGCGAAAACAAAAACUGACUCCCGGGCAUAUUUUUUUCGGCCUUUAUGGGCAGAGAACUUUAAUACCGCUCAAAAUGAGGCCACCCAGUAGUUAGGUGUGAAUUUUCGAGACCUUUGGCACCGUUCUAAGAUGGGUCCUCUCUUCGUAGGCUAAUGCAUUGGCCCUUUUUGACCCGUUUUGGGGCGAAAACAAAAACUGACUCCCGGGCAUAUUUUUUUCGGCCUUUAUGGGCAGAGAACUUUAAUACCGCUCAAAAUGAGGCCACCCAGUAGUUAGGUGUGAAUUUUCGAGACCUUUGGCACCGUUCUAAGAUGGGUCCUCUCUUCGUAGGCUAAUGCAUUGGCCCUUUUUGACCCGUUUUGGGGCGAAAACAAAAACUGACUCCCGGGCAUAUUUUUUUCGGCCUUUAUGGGCAGAGAACUUUAAUACCGCUCAAAAUGAGGCCACCCAGUAGUUAGGUGUGAAUUUUCGAGACCUUUGGCACCGUUCUAAGAUGGGUCCUCUCUUCGUAGGCUAAUGCAUUGGCCCUUUUUGACCCGUUUUGGGGCGAAAACAAAAACUGACUCCCGGGCAUAUUUUUUUCGGCCUUUAUGGGCAGAGAACUUUAAUACCGCUCAAAAUGAGGCCACCCAGUAGUUAGGUGUGAAUUUUCGAGACCUUUGGCACCGUUCUAAGAUGGGUCCUCUCUUCGUAGGCUAAUGCAUUGGCCCUUUUUGACCCGUUUUGGGGCGAAAACAAAAACUGACUCCCGGGCAUAUUUUUUUCGGCCUUUAUGGGCAGAGAACUUUAAUACCGCUCAAAAUGAGGCCACCCAGUAGUUAGGUGUGAAUUUUCGAGACCUUUGGCACCGUUCUAAGAUGGGUCCUCUCUUCGUAGGCUAAUGCAUUGGCCCUUUUUGACCCGUUUUGGGGCGAAAACAAAAACUGACUCCCGGGCAUAUUUUUUUCGGCCUUUAUGGGCAGAGAACUUUAAUACCGCUCAAAAUGAGGCCACCCAGUAGUUAGGUGUGAAUUUUCGAGACCUUUGGCACCGUUCUAAGAUGGGUCCUCUCUUCGUAGGCUAAUGCAUUGGCCCUUUUUGACCCGUUUUGGGGCGAAAACAAAAACUGACUCCCGGGCAUAUUUUUUUCGGCCUUUAUGGGCAGAGAACUUUAAUACCGCUCAAAAUGAGGCCACCCAGUAGUUAGGUGUGAAUUUUCGAGACCUUUGGCACCGUUCUAAGAUGGGUCCUCUCUUCGUAGGCUAAUGCAUUGGCCCUUUUUGACCCGUUUUGGGGCGAAAACAAAAACUGACUCCCGGGCAUAUUUUUUUCGGCCUUUAUGGGCAGAGAACUUUAAUACCGCUCAAAAUGAGGCCACCCAGUAGUUAGGUGUGAAUUUUCGAGACCUUUGGCACCGUUCUAAGAUGGGUCCUCUCUUCGUAGGCUAAUGCAUUGGCCCUUUUUGACCCGUUUUGGGGCGAAAACAAAAACUGACUCCCGGGCAUAUUUUUUUCGGCCUUUAUGGGCAGAGAACUUUAAUACCGCUCAAAAUGAGGCCACCCAGUAGUUAGGUGUGAAUUUUCGAGACCUUUGGCACCGUUCUAAGAUGGGUCCUCUCUUCGUAGGCUAAUGCAUUGGCCCUUUUUGACCCGUUUUGGGGCGAAAACAAAAACUGACUCCCGGGCAUAUUUUUUUCGGCCUUUAUGGGCAGAGAACUUUAAUACCGCUCAAAAUGAGGCCACCCAGUAGUUAGGUGUGAAUUUUCGAGACCUUUGGCACCGUUCUAAGAUGGGUCCUCUCUUCGUAGGCUAAUGCAUUGGCCCUUUUUGACCCGUUUUGGGGCGAAAACAAAAACUGACUCCCGGGCAUAUUUUUUUCGGCCUUUAUGGGCAGAGAACUUUAAUACCGCUCAAAAUGAGGCCACCCAGUAGUUAGGUGUGAAUUUUCGAGACCUUUGGCACCGUUCUAAGAUGGGUCCUCUCUUCGUAGGCUAAUGCAUUGGCCCUUUUUGACCCGUUUUGGGGCGAAAACAAAAACUGACUCCCGGGCAUAUUUUUUUCGGCCUUUAUGGGCAGAGAACUUUAAUACCGCUCAAAAUGAGGCCACCCAGUAGUUAGGUGUGAAUUUUCGAGACCUUUGGCACCGUUCUAAGAUGGGUCCUCUCUUCGUAGGCUAAUGCAUUGGCCCUUUUUGACCCGUUUUGGGGCGAAAACAAAAACUGACUCCCGGGCAUAUUUUUUUCGGCCUUUAUGGGCAGAGAACUUUAAUACCGCUCAAAAUGAGGCCACCCAGUAGUUAGGUGUGAAUUUUCGAGACCUUUGGCACCGUUCUAAGAUGGGUCCUCUCUUCGUAGGCUAAUGCAUUGGCCCUUUUUGACCCGUUUUGGGGCGAAAACAAAAACUGACUCCCGGGCAUAUUUUUUUCGGCCUUUAUGGGCAGAGAACUUUAAUACCGCUCAAAAUGAGGCCACCCAGUAGUUAGGUGUGAAUUUUCGAGACCUUUGGCACCGUUCUAAGAUGGGUCCUCUCUUCGUAGGCUAAUGCAUUGGCCCUUUUUGACCCGUUUUGGGGCGAAAACAAAAACUGACUCCCGGGCAUAUUUUUUUCGGCCUUUAUGGGCAGAGAACUUUAAUACCGCUCAAAAUGAGGCCACCCAGUAGUUAGGUGUGAAUUUUCGAGACCUUUGGCACCGUUCUAAGAUGGGUCCUCUCUUCGUAGGCUAAUGCAUUGGCCCUUUUUGACCCGUUUUGGGGCGAAAACAAAAACUGACUCCCGGGCAUAUUUUUUUCGGCCUUUAUGGGCAGAGAACUUUAAUACCGCUCAAAAUGAGGCCACCCAGUAGUUAGGUGUGAAUUUUCGAGACCUUUGGCACCGUUCUAAGAUGGGUCCUCUCUUCGUAGGCUAAUGCAUUGGCCCUUUUUGACCCGUUUUGGGGCGAAAACAAAAACUGACUCCCGGGCAUAUUUUUUUCGGCCUUUAUGGGCAGAGAACUUUAAUACCGCUCAAAAUGAGGCCACCCAGUAGUUAGGUGUGAAUUUUCGAGACCUUUGGCACCGUUCUAAGAUGGGUCCUCUCUUCGUAGGCUAAUGCAUUGGCCCUUUUUGACCCGUUUUGGGGCGAAAACAAAAACUGACUCCCGGGCAUAUUUUUUUCGGCCUUUAUGGGCAGAGAACUUUAAUACCGCUCAAAAUGAGGCCACCCAGUAGUUAGGUGUGAAUUUUCGAGACCUUUGGCACCGUUCUAAGAUGGGUCCUCUCUUCGUAGGCUAAUGCAUUGGCCCUUUUUGACCCGUUUUGGGGCGAAAACAAAAACUGACUCCCGGGCAUAUUUUUUUCGGCCUUUAUGGGCAGAGAACUUUAAUACCGCUCAAAAUGAGGCCACCCAGUAGUUAGGUGUGAAUUUUCGAGACCUUUGGCACCGUUCUAAGAUGGGUCCUCUCUUCGUAGGCUAAUGCAUUGGCCCUUUUUGACCCGUUUUGGGGCGAAAACAAAAACUGACUCCCGGGCAUAUUUUUUUCGGCCUUUAUGGGCAGAGAACUUUAAUACCGCUCAAAAUGAGGCCACCCAGUAGUUAGGUGUGAAUUUUCGAGACCUUUGGCACCGUUCUAAGAUGGGUCCUCUCUUCGUAGGCUAAUGCAUUGGCCCUUUUUGACCCGUUUUGGGGCGAAAACAAAAACUGACUCCCGGGCAUAUUUUUUUCGGCCUUUAUGGGCAGAGAACUUUAAUACCGCUCAAAAUGAGGCCACCCAGUAGUUAGGUGUGAAUUUUCGAGACCUUUGGCACCGUUCUAAGAUGGGUCCUCUCUUCGUAGGCUAAUGCAUUGGCCCUUUUUGACCCGUUUUGGGGCGAAAACAAAAACUGACUCCCGGGCAUAUUUUUUUCGGCCUUUAUGGGCAGAGAACUUUAAUACCGCUCAAAAUGAGGCCACCCAGUAGUUAGGUGUGAAUUUUCGAGACCUUUGGCACCGUUCUAAGAUGGGUCCUCUCUUCGUAGGCUAAUGCAUUGGCCCUUUUUGACCCGUUUUGGGGCGAAAACAAAAACUGACUCCCGGGCAUAUUUUUUUCGGCCUUUAUGGGCAGAGAACUUUAAUACCGCUCAAAAUGAGGCCACCCAGUAGUUAGGUGUGAAUUUUCGAGACCUUUGGCACCGUUCUAAGAUGGGUCCUCUCUUCGUAGGCUAAUGCAUUGGCCCUUUUUGACCCGUUUUGGGGCGAAAACAAAAACUGACUCCCGGGCAUAUUUUUUUCGGCCUUUAUGGGCAGAGAACUUUAAUACCGCUCAAAAUGAGGCCACCCAGUAGUUAGGUGUGAAUUUUCGAGACCUUUGGCACCGUUCUAAGAUGGGUCCUCUCUUCGUAGGCUAAUGCAUUGGCCCUUUUUGACCCGUUUUGGGGCGAAAACAAAAACUGACUCCCGGGCAUAUUUUUUUCGGCCUUUAUGGGCAGAGAACUUUAAUACCGCUCAAAAUGAGGCCACCCAGUAGUUAGGUGUGAAUUUUCGAGACCUUUGGCACCGUUCUAAGAUGGGUCCUCUCUUCGUAGGCUAAUGCAUUGGCCCUUUUUGACCCGUUUUGGGGCGAAAACAAAAACUGACUCCCGGGCAUAUUUUUUUCGGCCUUUAUGGGCAGAGAACUUUAAUACCGCUCAAAAUGAGGCCACCCAGUAGUUAGGUGUGAAUUUUCGAGACCUUUGGCACCGUUCUAAGAUGGGUCCUCUCUUCGUAGGCUAAUGCAUUGGCCCUUUUUGACCCGUUUUGGGGCGAAAACAAAAACUGACUCCCGGGCAUAUUUUUUUCGGCCUUUAUGGGCAGAGAACUUUAAUACCGCUCAAAAUGAGGCCACCCAGUAGUUAGGUGUGAAUUUUCGAGACCUUUGGCACCGUUCUAAGAUGGGUCCUCUCUUCGUAGGCUAAUGCAUUGGCCCUUUUUGACCCGUUUUGGGGCGAAAACAAAAACUGACUCCCGGGCAUAUUUUUUUCGGCCUUUAUGGGCAGAGAACUUUAAUACCGCUCAAAAUGAGGCCACCCAGUAGUUAGGUGUGAAUUUUCGAGACCUUUGGCACCGUUCUAAGAUGGGUCCUCUCUUCGUAGGCUAAUGCAUUGGCCCUUUUUGACCCGUUUUGGGGCGAAAACAAAAACUGACUCCCGGGCAUAUUUUUUUCGGCCUUUAUGGGCAGAGAACUUUAAUACCGCUCAAAAUGAGGCCACCCAGUAGUUAGGUGUGAAUUUUCGAGACCUUUGGCACCGUUCUAAGAUGGGUCCUCUCUUCGUAGGCUAAUGCAUUGGCCCUUUUUGACCCGUUUUGGGGCGAAAACAAAAACUGACUCCCGGGCAUAUUUUUUUCGGCCUUUAUGGGCAGAGAACUUUAAUACCGCUCAAAAUGAGGCCACCCAGUAGUUAGGUGUGAAUUUUCGAGACCUUUGGCACCGUUCUAAGAUGGGUCCUCUCUUCGUAGGCUAAUGCAUUGGCCCUUUUUGACCCGUUUUGGGGCGAAAACAAAAACUGACUCCCGGGCAUAUUUUUUUCGGCCUUUAUGGGCAGAGAACUUUAAUACCGCUCAAAAUGAGGCCACCCAGUAGUUAGGUGUGAAUUUUCGAGACCUUUGGCACCGUUCUAAGAUGGGUCCUCUCUUCGUAGGCUAAUGCAUUGGCCCUUUUUGACCCGUUUUGGGGCGAAAACAAAAACUGACUCCCGGGCAUAUUUUUUUCGGCCUUUAUGGGCAGAGAACUUUAAUACCGCUCAAAAUGAGGCCACCCAGUAGUUAGGUGUGAAUUUUCGAGACCUUUGGCACCGUUCUAAGAUGGGUCCUCUCUUCGUAGGCUAAUGCAUUGGCCCUUUUUGACCCGUUUUGGGGCGAAAACAAAAACUGACUCCCGGGCAUAUUUUUUUCGGCCUUUAUGGGCAGAGAACUUUAAUACCGCUCAAAAUGAGGCCACCCAGUAGUUAGGUGUGAAUUUUCGAGACCUUUGGCACCGUUCUAAGAUGGGUCCUCUCUUCGUAGGCUAAUGCAUUGGCCCUUUUUGACCCGUUUUGGGGCGAAAACAAAAACUGACUCCCGGGCAUAUUUUUUUCGGCCUUUAUGGGCAGAGAACUUUAAUACCGCUCAAAAUGAGGCCACCCAGUAGUUAGGUGUGAAUUUUCGAGACCUCUUGGCACCGUUCUAAGAUGGGUCCUCUCUUCGUAGGCUAAUGCAUUGGCCCUUUUUGACCCGUUUUGGGGCGAAAACAAAAACUGACUCCCGGGCAUAUUUUUUUCGGCCUUUAUGGGCAGAGAACUUUAAUACCGCUCAAAAUGAGGCCACCCAGUAGUUAGGUGUGAAUUUUCGAGACCUCUGGCACCGUUCUAAGAUGGGUCCUCUCUUCGUAGGCUAAUGCAUUGGCCCUUUUUGACCCGUUUUGGGGCGAAAACAAAAACUGACUCCCGGGCAUAUUUUUUUCGGCCUUUAUGGGCAGAGAACUUUAAUGCCGCUCAAAAUGAGGCCACCCAGUAGUUAGGUGUGAAUUUUCGAGACCUCUGGCACCGUUCUAAGAUGGGUCCUCUCUUCGUAGGCUAAUGCAUUGGCCCUUUUUGACCCGUUUUGGGGCGAAAACAAAAACUGACUCCCGGGCAUAUUUUUUUCGGCCUUUAUGGGCAGAGAACUUUAAUACCGCUCAGAAUGAGGCCACCCAGUAGUUAGGUGUGAAUUUUCGAGACCUUCUGGCACCGUUCUAAGAUGGGUCCUCUCUUCGUAGGCUAAUGCAUUGGCCCUUUUUGACCCGUUUUGGGGCGAAAACAAAAACUGACUCCCGGGCAUAUUUUUUUCGGCCUUUAUGGGCAGAGAACUUUAAUACCGCUCAGAAUGAGGCCACCCAGUAGUUAGGUGUGAAUUUUCGAGACCUCUGGCACCGUUCUAAGAUGGGUCCUCUCUUCGUAGGCUAAUGCAUUGGCCCUUUUUGACCCGUUUUGGGGCGAAAACAAAAACUGACUCCCGGGCAUAUUUUUUUCGGCCUUUAUGGGCAGAGAACUUUAAUACCGCUCAGAAUGAGGCCACCCAGUAGUUAGGUGUGAAUUUUCGAGACCUUUGGCACCGUUCUAAGAUGGGUCCUCUCUUCGUAGGCUAAUGCAUUGGCCCUUUUUGACCCGUUUUGGGGCGAAAACAAAAACUGACUCCCGGGCAUAUUUUUUUCGGCCUUUAUGGGCAGAGAACUUUAAUGCCGCUCAGAAUGAGGCCACCCAGUAGUUAGGUGUGAAUUUUCGAGACCUUUGGCACCGUUCUAAGAUGGGUCCUCUCUUCGUAGGCUAAUGCAUUGGCCCUUUUUGACCCGUUUUGGGGCGAAAACAAAAACUGACUCCCGGGCAUAUUUUUUUCGGCCUUUAUGGGCAGAGAACUUUAAUGCCGCUCAGAAUGAGGCCACCCAGUAGUUAGGUGUGAAUUUUCGAGACCUCUGGCACCGUUCUAAGAUGGGUCCUCUCUUCGUAGGCUAAUGCAUUGGCCCUUUUUGACCCGUUUUGGGGCGAAAACAAAAACUGACUCCCGGGCAUAUUUUUUUCGGCCUUUAUGGGCAGAGAACUUUAAUACCGCUCAAAAUGAGGCCACCCAGUAGUUAGGUGUGAAUUUUCGAGACCUUUGGCACCGUUCUAAGAUGGGUCCUCUCUUCGUAGGCUAAUGCAUUGGCCCUUUUUGACCCGUUUUGGGGCGAAAACAAAAACUGACUCCCGGGCAUAUUUUUUUCGGCCUUUAUGGGCAGAGAACUUUAAUACCGCUCAAAAUGAGGCCACCCAGUAGUUAGGUGUGAAUUUUCGAGACCUCUGGCACCGUUCUAAGAUGGGUCCUCUCUUCGUAGGCUAAUGCAUUGGCCCUUUUUGACCCGUUUUGGGGCGAAAACAAAAACUGACUCCCGGGCAUAUUUUUUUCGGCCUUUAUGGGCAGAGAACUUUAAUACCGCUCAAAAUGAGGCCACCCAGUAGUUAGGUGUGAAUUUUCGAGACCUUUGGCACCGUUCUAAGAUGGGUCCUCUCUUCGUAGGCUAAUGCAUUGGCCCUUUUUGACCCGUUUUGGGGCGAAAACAAAAACUGACUCCCGGGCAUAUUUUUUUCGGCCUUUAUGGGCAGAGAACUUUAAUACCGCUCAGAAUGAGGCCACCCAGUAGUUAGGUGUGAAUUUUCGAGACCUUUGGCACCGUUCUAAGAUGGGUCCUCUCUUCGUAGGCUAAUGCAUUGGCCCUUUUUGACCCGUUUUGGGGCGAAAACAAAAACUGACUCCCGGGCAUAUUUUUUUCGGCCUUUAUGGGCAGAGAACUUUAAUACGCCGCUCAGAAUGAGGCCACCCAGUAGUUAGGUGUGAAUUUUCGAGACCUUUGGCACCGUUCUAAGAUGGGUCCUCUCUUCGUAGGCUAAUGCAUUGGCCCUUUUUGACCCGUUUUGGGGCGAAAACAAAAACUGACUCCCGGGCAUAUUUUUUUCGGCCUUUAUGGGCAGAGAACUUUAAUACCGCUCAGAAUGAGGCCACCCAGUAGUUAGGUGUGAAUUUUCGAGACCUUUGGCACCGUUCUAAGAUGGGUCCUCUCUUCGUAGGCUAAUGCAUUGGCCCUUUUUGACCCGUUUUGGGGCGAAAACAAAAACUGACUCCCGGGCAUAUUUUUUUCGGCCUUUAUGGGCAGAGAACUUUAAUACCGCUCAGAAUGAGGCCACCCAGUAGUUAGGUGUGAAUUUUCGAGACCUUUGGCACCGUUCUAAGAUGGGUCCUCUCUUCGUAGGCUAAUGCAUUGGCCCUUUUUGACCCGUUUUGGGGCGAAAACAAAAACUGACUCCCGGGCAUAUUUUUUUCGGCCUUUAUGGGCAGAGAACUUUAAUACCGCUCAAAAUGAGGCCACCCAGUAGUUAGGUGUGAAUUUUCGAGACCUUCUGGCACCGUUCUAAGAUGGGUCCUCUCUUCGUAGGCUAAUGCAUUGGCCCUUUUUGACCCGUUUUGGGGCGAAAACAAAAACUGACUCCCGGGCAUAUUUUUUUCGGCCUUUAUGGGCAGAGAACUUUAAUACCGCUCAAAAUGAGGCCACCCAGUAGUUAGGUGUGAAUUUUCGAGACCUCUGGCACCGUUCUAAGAUGGGUCCUCUCUUCGUAGGCUAAUGCAUUGGCCCUUUUUGACCCGUUUUGGGGCGAAAACAAAAACUGACUCCCGGGCAUAUUUUUUUCGGCCUUUAUGGGCAGAGAACUUUAAUACCCGCUCAGAAUGAGGCCACCCAGUAGUUAGGUGUGAAUUUUCGAGACCUUCUGGCACCGUUCUAAGAUGGGUCCUCUCUUCGUAGGCUAAUGCAUUGGCCCUUUUUGACCCGUUUUGGGGCGAAAACAAAAACUGACUCCCGGGCAUAUUUUUUUCGGCCUUUAUGGGCAGAGAACUUUAAUACCGCUCAAAAUGAGGCCACCCAGUAGUUAGGUGUGAAUUUUCGAGACCUCUGGCACCGUUCUAAGAUGGGUCCUCUCUUCGUAGGCUAAUGCAUUGGCCCUUUUUGACCCGUUUUGGGGCGAAAACAAAAACUGACUCCCGGGCAUAUUUUUUUCGGCCUUUAUGGGCAGAGAACUUUAAUACCGCUCAAAAUGAGGCCACCCAGUAGUUAGGUGUGAAUUUUCGAGACCUUUGGCACCGUUCUAAGAUGGGUCCUCUCUUCGUAGGCUAAUGCAUUGGCCCUUUUUGACCCGUUUUGGGGCGAAAACAAAAACUGACUCCCGGGCAUAUUUUUUUCGGCCUUUAUGGGCAGAGAACUUUAAUGCCGCUCAGAAUGAGGCCACCCAGUAGUUAGGUGUGAAUUUUCGAGACCUUUGGCACCGUUCUAAGAUGGGUCCUCUCUUCGUAGGCUAAUGCAUUGGCCCUUUUUGACCCGUUUUGGGGCGAAAACAAAAACUGACUCCCGGGCAUAUUUUUUUCGGCCUUUAUGGGCAGAGAACUUUAAUGCCGCUCAAAAUGAGGCCACCCAGUAGUUAGGUGUGAAUUUUCGAGACCUUUGGCACCGUUCUAAGAUGGGUCCUCUCUUCGUAGGCUAAUGCAUUGGCCCUUUUUGACCCGUUUUGGGGCGAAAACAAAAACUGACUCCCGGGCAUAUUUUUUUCGGCCUUUAUGGGCAGAGAACUUUAAUACCGCUCAAAAUGAGGCCACCCAGUAGUUAGGUGUGAAUUUUCGAGACCUUUGGCACCGUUCUAAGAUGGGUCCUCUCUUCGUAGGCUAAUGCAUUGGCCCUUUUUGACCCGUUUUGGGGCGAAAACAAAAACUGACUCCCGGGCAUAUUUUUUUCGGCCUUUAUGGGCAGAGAACUUUAAUGCCGCUCAAAAUGAGGCCACCCAGUAGUUAGGUGUGAAUUUUCGAGACCUUUGGCACCGUUCUAAGAUGGGUCCUCUCUUCGUAGGCUAAUGCAUUGGCCCUUUUUGACCCGUUUUGGGGCGAAAACAAAAACUGACUCCCGGGCAUAUUUUUUUCGGCCUUUAUGGGCAGAGAACUUUAAUACCCGCUCAGAAUGAGGCCACCCAGUAGUUAGGUGUGAAUUUUCGAGACCUUUGGCACCGUUCUAAGAUGGGUCCUCUCUUCGUAGGCUAAUGCAUUGGCCCUUUUUGACCCGUUUUGGGGCGAAAACAAAAACUGACUCCCGGGCAUAUUUUUUUCGGCCUUUAUGGGCAGAGAACUUUAAUACCGCUCAGAAAUGAGGCCACCCAGUAGUUAGGUGUGAAUUUUCGAGACCUUUGGCACCGUUCUAAGAUGGGUCCUCUCUUCGUAGGCUAAUGCAUUGGCCCUUUUUGACCCGUUUUGGGGCGAAAACAAAAACUGACUCCCGGGCAUAUUUUUUUCGGCCUUUAUGGGCAGAGAACUUUAAUACCGCUCAGAAAUGAGGCCACCCAGUAGUUAGGUGGGAAUUUUCGAGACCUUUGGCACCGUUCUAAGAUGGGUCCUCUCUUCGUAGGCUAAUGCAUUGGCCCUUUUUGACCCGUUUUGGGGCGAAAACAAAAACUGACUCCCGGGCAUAUUUUUUUCGGCCUUUAUGGGCAGAGAACUUUAACACCGCUCAAAAUGAGGCCACCCAGUAGUUAGGUGUGAAUUUUCGAGACCUUUGGCACCGUUCUAAGAUGGGUCCUCUCUUCGUAGGCUAAUGCAUUGGCCCUUUUUGACCCGUUUUGGGGCGAAAACAAAAACUGACUCCCGGGCAUAUUUUUUUCGGCCUUUAUGGGCAGAGAACUUUAAUACCGCUCAAAAUGAGGCCACCCAGUAGUUAGGUGUGAAUUUUCGAGACCUUUGGCACCGUUCUAAGAUGGGUCCUCUCUUCGUAGGCUAAUGCAUUGGCCCUUUUUGACCCGUUUUGGGGCGAAAACAAAAACUGACUCCCGGGCAUAUUUUUUUCGGCCUUUAUGGGCAGAGAACUUUAACACCGCUCAAAAUGAGGCCACCCAGUAGUUAGGUGGGAAUUUUCGAGACCUUUGGCACCGUUCUAAGAUGGGUCCUCUCUUCGUAGGCUAAUGCAUUGGCCCUUUUUGACCCGUUUUGGGGCGAAAACAAAAACUGACUCCCGGGCAUAUUUUUUUUCGGCCUUUAUGGGCAGAGAACUUUAACACCGCUCAAAAUGAGGCCACCCAGUAGUUAGGUGGGAAUUUUCGAGACCUUUGGCACCGUUCUAAGAUGGGUCCUCUCUUCGUAGGCUAAUGCAUUGGCCCUUUUUGACCCGUUUUGGGGCGAAAACAAAAACUGACUCCCGGGCAUAUUUUUC
rnacentral:lncRNA from 1 species